GAGCCGCGGCCGCCACCAGAGUAGGGCUAGCGGCGCGGCAGAGCGCGGCGGAGCGCGGCGCAGCGCCUGAGGCUUCAAGGAGCCAGGAUCUCUGGUGACCGGAGUAGGACAAAAUGGCGCUCGCAUGGACUUCCGAGGCCGGGCCCAGUCGUGUGCUCUGAGGCAGGCCGGGACAAAGGCGGCGUGCAGGGAGGCAGCGUGGCCGUCGCGUGGGCCUGGCGUUGUCGCUUCCCUUCAUGCUGCAGCUGUGCGAGUCCUGAAGAUACAUUCAGCGUGGUUUUGGUUAUGAACAGGAUUCGGAUUCACGUCCUGCCAACCAAUCGGGGGAGGAUCACUCCAGUGCCCAGGUCUCAGGAACCUCUGUCUUGUGCAUUCACUCAUCGUCCAUGCUCUCAGCCUCGUCUGGAGGGGCAGGAGUUUUGCAUUAAGCAUAUCCUUGAAGACAAGAAUGCACCCUUCAAGCAGUGUAGUUAUAUAUCGACGAAGAAUGGAAAAAGAUGUCCCAGUGCUGCCCCAAAGCCAGAGAAGAAAGAUGGGGUGUCCUUCUGUGCUGAACAUGUCCGUAGGAAUGCCCUGGCACUUCAUGCUCAAAUGAAGAAGACCAACCCAGGGCCUAUGGGUGAAACACUCCUGUGCCAGCUCAGCUCAUAUGCUAAGACAGAGCUGGGGUCUCAGACUCCAGAAAGUAGUCGCAGUGAAGCCAGCCGAAUACUAGAUGAAGACAGCUGGAGUGAUGGGGAGCAGGAACCCAUUACUGUGGAUCAGACAUGGAGAGGUGACCCUGACAGUGAAGCUGAUAGCAUAGACAGUGAUCAAGAAGAUCCCUUAAAACAUGCUGGUGUCUACACGGCAGAAGAAGUGGCCCUGAUUAUGCGUGAGAAGCUAAUUCGUUUGCAGUCUUUGUAUAUUGAUCAGUUUAAACGACUUCAGCAUCUGCUCAAGGAGAAGAAGCGCCGGUACUUACAUAAUCGCAAAGUGGAACAUGAAGCUCUAGGCAGUAGUCUCCUGACUGGCCCAGAGGGACUUUUGGCCAAAGAACGAGAGAACUUAAAGCGAUUAAAAUGUCUGCGUCGAUACCGCCAGCGCUAUGGAGUGGAAGCCUUACUGCAUAGGCAGUUGAAGGAACGGAGAAUGCUGGCCACAGAUGGUGCCGCCCAACAGGCCCAUACCACUCGUUCCAGUCAGAGGUGCUUGGCCUUUGUGGAUGAUGUUCGUUGUUCCAAUCAGUCUCUUCCAAUGACCAGACACUGCCUUACCCAUAUUUGUCAGGAUACGAAUCAGGUUCUCUUCAAGUGCUGCCAGGGAUCUGAAGAGGUACCCUGCAACAAACCUGUUCCUGUAAGCCUCUCUGAGGAUCCCUGCUGCCCACUGCAUUUCCAGUUGCCUCCUCAGAUGUAUAAGCCCGAGCAGGUACUGUCUGUGCCAGACGAUCUGGAAGCCGGCCCCAUGGAUCUGUACUUGAGUGCUGCUGAGCUUCAGCCCACUGAGAGUUUACCUCUGGAGUUCAGUGAUACUGGAGUGCAGUGGCACGAUCUUGGCUCACUGCAACCUUCACCUCCUGGGUUCAAGCAAUUCUCCUGUUCCUGCCUCCCUAGUAGCUGGGAUUACAGGACUUGGAUGUUGUGGGUGAUGGUAUGCAGUGUCCUCCUUCACCUUUGCUUUUUGAUCCUUCACUAACCCUUGAAGAUCAUUUAGUCAAAGAAAUUGCUGAAGACCCAGUGGAUAUUUUGGGCCAGAUGCAGAUGGCUGGAGAUGGGUGCAGAUCCCAGGGAUCUCGAAAUUCUGAGAAAGCCUCUGCACCAUUGUCUCAGAGUGGAUUGGCUACUGCAAAUGGGAAGCCAGAACCCACUUCUAUUAGUUGAUAGUUUGGGGAACCAUUUUACUUUGGUGGAUUUAAAUUUCUCAUUCUUCAAAGAAAUAUUUCUGAUCAUCUCUCACAAAACACAGGCAACCCAGACUAUCUUGUUUUUCUUCUGGAUUGAGUAUUAUAGUCAAAAGUAAAGCCAAAUUUUGAGGACAUGGACCAAUACUUCUUAAGAGUUGUGGGUUUCUUCCCACUCAGGGCAAGGAAGAGAGAUAAUCCCUAUCAAAGCUUCUGGGAUUAUUUGGUACUAUACCUAAAAGGAAAGUGACAUCUUUGUAAUGGGAUUUCCAAAGUCAUGGAUAGAAAUCCACUUAAGUAGCUAGGUGGGAGCUGUCUUUGUGAGUAGUGUCUUUUAGAUACUGAUGGCCCUAAUAUCUGGUUAUCUCUAUCUAAAGACCUGCAGUUUAACUUUUCUUCACCUCUACUUAAUUGGGCAAUCUUUAACCUGUUUCCGUGGUGAACUCUGGCUUUUAUCCUCUGAGAAAACAGCCCACAGGACUGGGUCCUCCUUAUCCAUCUUGCUUUUAACCUAUGUAAAUUUCUGUGGUUGCUAUCUUAUGUAAAAUAUAGUACAAAUUUAUUGUAUAUAGUUUCUAUUAAAUGUUAAAGAAAAUGUUAUGAAAAUAUCAAACAGUCACCUGAAUUGAA